CCUACGGGAGGCAGCAGUGAGGAAUAUUGGUCAAUGGGCUGAGGCCUGAACCAGCCAAGUCGCGUGAGGGAAGACGGUCCUAUGGAUUGUAAACCUCUUUUGUCGGGGAGCAACGAGGCCACGGGGGGCCGAAGUGAGAGUACCCGAAGAAAAAGCAUCGGCUAACGCCGUGCCAGCAGCCGCGGUAAUACGGAGGAUGCGAGCGUUAUCCGGAUUUAUUGGGUUGAAAGGGUGCGUAGGCGGAACAUUAAGUCAGCGGUAAAAUCGAGGGGCUCACCCCCUUUAAGCCGUUGAAACUGGUGAUCUUGCGUGGGCGUGCAGUAUGCGUCCUGCGUGUUGUAGCGGU
rnacentral:rRNA from 1 species